GUGAAAUGGCAUUAGUUAUGUUGACAUCUCAGUUAUAAAGGGAGCAAAAACUAUAAUAUUAUUUUAUCCACGUCACUACCCACUAGAGGGAGAUGCACGGUAGUUUGUUUCCAGGCAGCUCGUGGCAGAAGUUGGACUUUGUCAAGAUCUGGAGGGAGGAAGCACUGUGGUAUGAAAGCCAAAGAAGAUGCGAGUUCCCUACCCCGGUACAGUUUCAUGGUGCAAAGUUCUCCGUAAUUAUCCUUGGAUCCGGAGUGACCGUUUACAGCACAUUAUUAGCGUCACGGAAAUCUCCGAGGUGCUUCUAACCGCGUUGUUCACAAAGGCACCCAGCCCGGGCUGUUUCUGUGCUGCUGCUGAUGUGUAGCCACUGCUGCUGUUUUUUUGGCACAUUACACACAGGAGCGAACUUGUGACCUGGACAUACAUAGAGAGCAAGUCUGUAAUCCAGCUACCACUUGAACUUUUACCUUUGGGCUUUAACAUUCACAGAGCAACAGGCUUUGUAUCCUGGGAGUCUCUCCAAAAUAUCUGUGAUUAUGAAUGGGAGUAUUUUUCAAGAACUACCAAUAAUCUGUUGGGUUUCUCCCACAAGUGUAACUCCCACAAGUAACUCAGUGUAACUUCCCACACAGUAAUGCCUUUUUUUUUUCUUUUUUUUUUUUUUUUUUUCCUAUAUUUAUGCUGAACAGUGGUGAAUAAAGAUGAGGUUGAUCCCAUAUUGUUGAAUCUAUUCAAGGAGACAACCUGGUGAUUGCCAUAGAAACAGGUUCUGCACACUAAAAGCUUAACCCUACUUUUAAAUACUGUAUAUGGACCUGUACUGCUACACAGCUUAUAGUCACACUGUGUAAACAUACACGGUGCUGCAGCAGAGAAAUAGCAA